AGUCCAAAGACACAUUGUCAUGUCAUUGAUGUGAGCUGAGCCAUUACAGAGUGAACUCUGAUUUGCCUGUUGGGUAGGUGGCUUUGAAAACUUAAUUCCCAUUUUCAUGUGGUUUAGUUUAGCUAAUUUUUAGUUUGGGUUUUGUUACCAGUUGUCAGAGUUUGCGAAGAGGACAAGAAAAUUAAUGGUCUGCUCUAAGUACUUAUUUGAGUAGAGGCACUGUUCUUUCACAUACUUUUCCACUGAGCGAAUCCCCUGCGUGUAGAAUCAGACCACUAGUUUUAUCUACAAUGUGCUGUAUCAGUAUCAAUCCAUAAUGGUAUCUGUAAUCUUGAGUUUCAAACAAAGACCGUGAACUGUAUGUGCCCUUUAAUAUAGAAGGGAUUGUUUACAAGAAUGCCAGUGCAAUAGCUUAACAAUUAGAAUGAUAAAUUUGUAAUGUAAAUGUGAAAAAAAUUGUCUGACUUUGGAAAGUAACCUGAUUAGUAACAAACUAGAAAAGAAAGUGGCAAGCCAAAUUCAGUGGAAAUCACCUUGCAAGUACAGGGGAGACCAAGCAUUGGGAGAGGGUUGUGUCUUGCUCUCCUACAGAUUUGUGUGCCUGAGUACAUGUUCCUGGCCUUGUUUUUAUUUUCUUUAUGAUCCCAGAUAAGGAUGAAGGUAGGGCCCUCUUUUAUGCAACUGUAACAAUUCAGUUCAUAAAACUUUUUGCACUGGUGUAUAACAUUUCAAUUGUGAGUGUGAAGGUGCCACACUCGUGUCUGUCAGGCAUGGUCCACAAUAAAGAAGCAUGACAAUUUCCCAAAGCCACCAAAAUAUAGGUAUCGCUUGUGAAAAUCUUUCUGGAUUUUACACUUCAAAAGAUCUGAUAAUGUAAUAUCCUCAGGGCCACAGUGGGUUCUAAGUAUCAGUUUACUCUGUGCAAGGCCAUUCUCACAUCAGUUUAAUUCUUUGAUGACACCAGUUCCUCUCUUAGUAAACCAAUGCCCUCAUCUACCUUCAGGCAAAAUAAAUAUGCAUCUCAACUGAGACUUGAGGCAGUGUAAACUUUCAGGAUAGUUAAUGAUAAUUUAUAUGCUCUUCACCUAUGAGUUCAGCUGUCUCCUGGAUGUGUUCUCACCUAACUUCUGACUUCAUAGGCAGUCUAAGGUAAGUGUAGCUCUACACUGUCUAAAUCCUCAAAAGCAAUGUAAGAAGCUGAUUAAUAGAUACAUCAACAUAUACAUUUCUAUUGGGAAGCACCUCAGAAAUUUACCUCGAAUUCUUACAGCUGUGUGUCCUGCCUUGAACAUCGCAACCAUCCUCAGGUCUUUUAGUGAAAGAUUCUUUCACCUGUAUGUCCAACAAGAAUGAUACUGUGAACAAUAUCAUCAUAUUCAGUACAUGCUUUGGGGUGGGCUUCAUCUCACUUAUCUUUAACAUUUGUCGCGAUCAUGUAAAUUUCUGUGUGUGUGUUUUAUUUUAAUGUAGUUUGUUGUAAAUCUCCUUAUCCUCACACAUGCUACAGAGUGAGACGUAUUUUGAACAACCUCAAUGUCUCUUAGCACCACUUCUGCAAAUCAAAAGGAGAUUACAGGGAAUUUGUUUCCAUUUCCAUGUGUUUUAUAUGUCAGUUUAUUUGUCUUGAAUUUCCAAAGAUCACCAAGGAAGUGUUCAAGCUCUGAAAUGUCUCAUUUUCUGUGUCACCAUCUCUCCCUGUGCUGCUGUUCAAAGGUAGUCACGAGGCAAGUCCCUUGCCACUCCUUUACGGCUUCUUGUCCUCAUUUCUUUGUGUAUCCAGACAUUUUUCUGUGCUGAUGAAUCCAUUUCCUGCUAUACUAUCAAAUUCUGGCUUAAAACCAGAGUUGAAUCUGACUCUUGGGGAGCAUUGUUUUACAAACAAAGGGCUACUGCAGGGCCGUGUAGCCAUGCCAGCAAAUCAUUGCUCUAUGCUGCCACUUAAGUGAGUGGAAUUGGCUUUUCCCUUAGAUUUGUUUCUCUUUACUUCCCCGAGUGCUCCAACUUCAUUCUAGAUCUCCAAGUUCCACUUCUUAUUUUCUUUUUUUUUUUAUGUUCUCCAGCUUUCUAACAUACAGCCAUUUUCAGCCUGGGCAUGGAAAAGAUGUCCCCUGAAUGUGGUAUAUUCAUCCUUCUUCACUACUACCCAGGAAAGUUCUCAGGAACUGUCACAUUCAUUGUGCCCUUCCUACAUAAAUAGACUUGGAAGACCCUUCAAAGAAUCGCUAUAGUCUGCUACAUUCACUCUGUGUGAUGAAGUGCACAUCUAGAGGCCACUUAACAAGAACCAGGUCAGCCCUGCCUGUAGGUGUUCUUCUUUUCCAGUGCCCAGUGAACAUGUUUGGACAUCCGUGCACUUCCAGCAACAAGUAGUUUAUUUGGUGGCAUUUUAUAAUCUGUGCUGUUCUGCUCACACUGUAUUAUAAUAGCGGUCCUUUAAGCCUUUCUAAAAUGAAAAGCUGAUGUAGCUGGUUGCUUCGGGGCCAGACCCAUUCUCAGAAUAGAUGGCCUGGUCUUGCUACGAACUCCUUUUUGCAGGACCAGAGUCCAGUUACAGGUAGUCUGGUGCUUUUGUGUCAGAGUAAAACAAGUCAGGCUCGCUAAUCUGGAGAACCACAGUUUUCCACUGAAAAUGGUCUUCCAAAGCAUGGUUUAACACUAGUUAAAUCUGCAUCAAUCUAUGUGAGUGCCCUGAACUUGCACAUCUUUAGAACACAGCGAUGCUAACACACCUAGAGAGGUGGCCAGGAGAGGCUGUAGCGUCAUACAAGCGUGUUAAAGGGAGAAGGUGUGAUUUAUCUUAUUAAUGAAUCUCACAGUGAGGUGAGGAGAAGCGCACGACAAACUUGAAAGCGCAGUUCAGAUCCUUAGUUCAGAUCUGAAGUCCGCGUGUUAAACUGUCAGGGCCCCCGGCCGGCGCUAACGAGGGAACGACUCCCAGGUGCCGCGGCCGCCCGGGCGCAGCUGCGGCUCGUUCUCGGCCGGGGGCGGUUCCGCCCCCAACGCCUCUUAAGCUCCGCCGGAGGCCGCAGGGAGCGACCAGAGGGCUCCGGGAUUUCAUAGAGUACGGUAACCGGCGUGGGCUCCGCUUCCUUGUCAGGUUUGGGCGUCUCUGGGGCUGCAAAGCACCGUGAGGGGCUGCUUUUGAAACGAGGCUUUGGCAUUGGGGUUUUCUGUAAUGUUCUCUUUGUGUCGUGCUGGUUUGUUUCAGGUUGCGGUGGGACAUCUCCUAGUGAAGAUCAGCGCGAACCGAUGAGCCGUUCGGGUAUUCACGGGACCGCAGAGCCAGGGAGCCGUCUGUGGCCAGCACGGAGCUCCCCCGGCUUCUCGGAGCCGGGCGAACGUCGCCGCCCGACCGCUGUCGUGUUUUCGGAGGGGACCGCCGCUCACCGCUCCUUUCUCCGUGUCUCGGCGCCGUCCUGGGGCGCUGUCAGCUGAAAAACCCCGAGAAGGGUUUUUCGGGUGCCGCGGCCCCUUUCUCAUCCACCGACGGGAGCGAGCUGGAUCUUUCACUCUUUAUUUGUAAUUUCAGGAGUGUGAUCUCAUUCCCGUCACGGAGACGUGGUGGGACAACUUGCACAACCGGAAUGCUGUUGAGGAUGGCUGCUUUCUUUUCAGGAGAAACAUCCGAGGGAACCAGAACUUGUUGAGCUCUGCCUACGGAUGAACAAAGAACUAGGGGAGCCCUGGGGCGCCUCAGCCCGGGGGGAAGAGGCUAUUCCUGCUCUCAGGGUAAGCGCCUUGGAGAUAUAGGAAGAGAGCACUAAGGAUGAACACUGCAGCAGAGCAUUUGGCAUUGAGGAUGGGUGAGCCCUGGCUGCUCUAGUGGUCCUUGAGAAGUGGUUUUCAUAGUGGUUUCAGCAGUUUGAGGACCAGAGUUGGCAUUGCGUCGGUGUGCCUGUGUGGAGUGAGGUGAGUGUGUGUUUUAAUAGUUGUGUGGUGCCUUUGGGUGUUAUGGGACAAUGUUUUGUUUUUUGUUGGAGGAUGAUGGUGUGUUUUGGGUGCUGAAGGUGGGUCUAGUGGUGUUUUGGGAUGCAGCACUGAAGGUGUUUUGGGUGUCUUAAGGUGACUGUCCCUGUGUGUGGGGUUUGCAGGUGGUGCCACUGUUAGUUUAGUUCACUUAAAGGGAGUAGGUUUUUUCUUUGUUAGUUUUGUUGUGUAGUUGUUGAGGGGGAGAACACAGCUCAUGCUGGGUGACUGCUCUGGUCACUUGGUGUGGGCUGUGUUCUCCCCCUUGUAAUGGUGCUAGAGGCCAGGUUUUGCACCGUCUUUAAAAAGAUAUUUUUUUUAGGUGGGAGGGUGGGUGUGCAUGACAGUGGCAGGUUUUUGGUUUUUUUGGUUUUUUGUGCCCCCUGUACCUCUUUGGGUCACCUGCUGGGGCCUCCCCCUGCCCCCUUGGGGCCUCCCCCCU